rnacentral:rRNA from 1 species
AUUGAACGCUGGCGGCAGGCCUAACACAUGCAAGUCGAGCGGUAACAGGGGUAGCUUGCUACCCGCUGACGAGCGGCGGACGGGUGAGUAAUGCAUAGGAAUCUGCCCGAUAGUGGGGGAUAACCUGGGGAAGCCCAGGCUAAUACCGCAUACGUCCUACGGGAGAAAGGGGGCUCCGGCUCCCGCUAUCGGAUGAGCCUAUGUCGGAUUAGCUGGUUGGUGAGGUGACGGCUCACCAAGGCGACGAUCCGUAGCUGGUCUGAGAGGAUGAUCAGCCACAUCGGGACUGAGACACGGCCCGAACUCCUACGGGAGGCAGCAGUGGGGAAUAUUGGACAAUGGGGGGAACCCUGAUCCAGCCAUGCCGCGUGUGUGAAGAAGGCCCUCGGGUUGUAAAGCACUUUCAGUGAGGAAGAACGCCUGGUGGUUAAUACCCAUCAGGAAAGACAUCACUCACAGAAGAAGCACCGGCUAACUCCGUGCCAGCAGCCGCGGUAAUACGGAGGGUGCGAGCGUUAAUCGGAAUUACUGGGCGCAAAGCGCGCGUAGGUGGCUUGAUAAGCCGGUUGUGAAAGCCCCGGGCUCAACCUGGGAACGGCAUCCGGAACUGUCAAGCUAGAGUGCAGGAGAGGAAGGUAGAAUUCCCGGUGUAGCGGUGAAAUGCGUAGAGAUCGGGAGGAAUACCAGUGGCGAAGGCGGCCUUCUGGACUGACACUGACACUGAGGUGCGAAAGCGUGGGUAGCAAACAGG